UUUGGACCGGAGAUGGACUGGCAACGGUCCCACAUUUGCAGGCAAUAUGAUGAGUCAAGUUUCGAUGUAACUCUGCUUGAUUUGAAUUCUAUAAGACGAAAUCAGAUUACUUGAUACUAUUCCGACACUGUAUUGGUGUUCAUGAGGAGCUGGUCAAUUUAUUGAAUGCCAACAACAAAAAGAACAAUACGAUAUUUGAUAGAUUCCUAUCACGAUUCCCUCCACUCAUCUUAGUCGUCGCGGCCUGACAAUCUGAAAAGAACGAUUCUUUUGAUAUUUCAAAUUUUCUGUCUAUCUACACCGAACAGUAAACGAGUUUUUUAAAUGGGAAAUCUUUUUUCUUCAGGUUAAAAUUGAACUGAUCCUGGAUAGUAGCCUGCUCUGCUGUAUCGUUGAGUCUGAUCCUGCCAGCUGCCACUUUUGAAUAAUGGAAUCCAAUUGAGUCCAGCCAAUCACUUUGUCUUGGGUCGAUGUUUAGUGACUAGCAUCCCCUGGCGAGGAAUGGCGACAACUUAUUGUCAACAAACAACGUUUUGAAAACUGACAUGCCCAUUAUGUGGGCCAAAAAAUGUAAAUUUGGAAGCAACUGCUGGUGCUGGACUGUUCAUUCAGGAGAAAGUCAAUUGUUUAGAGACCCAAGAAUGAAUGUAAUUGUUUCGCUGCCUCAAACCAUAACCCACUAGUAAACUAAAUGGUGAAUUUUCAAUUUUGAUUCCUUAUUUAAAAAUGAGUUAAUUGAGUCCUCUGCUUGACUAAAUCCUAAUCACCUGACUGGGAAAUUUACCCAAUCUCACAUACAGUAGACUUGUGUAAAAAUAAAUUUACGACUAAAACUGCCCAAUGAUACCUGCAGCUUCAGCAUUUGCCACCAUUGAAUCUACGCCUAUGUCAGCAGCAGGUGAUGAAACAGGCAUUUGAAGGAGUGCAAUCUGGCCACCUAGCC